rnacentral:rRNA from 1 species
UACGGGGGGGGCAAGCGUUGUUCGGAAUCAUUGGGCGUAAAGCGCUCGUAGGCGGCUUGUCGCGUCGAAUGUGAAAACCCGAGGCUCAACCUCGGGCUUGCAUUCGAUACGGGCAGGCUAGAGUUCGGUAGGGGAGACUGGAAUUCCUGGUGUAGCGGUGAAAUGCGCAGAUAUCAGGAGGAACACCGGUGGCGAAGGCGGGUCUCUGGGCCGAUACUGACGCUGAGGAGCGAAAGCGUGGGGAGCGAACAGG